GAUGAACGCUGGCGGCGUGCCUAAUACAUGCAAGUCGAGCGAACAGACGAGGAGCUUGCUCCUCUGACGUUAGCGGCGGACGGGUGAGUAACACGUGGAUAACCUACCUAUAAGACUGGUAUAACUUCGGGAAACCGGAUCUAAUACCGGAUAAUAUAUUGAACCGCAUGGUUCAAUAGUGAAAGACGGUUUUGCUGUCACUUAUAGAUGGAUCCGCGCCGCAUUAGAUAGUUGGUAAGGUAACGGCUUACCAAGGCAACGAUGCGUAGCCGACCUGAGAGGGUGAUAGGCCACACUGGAACUGAGACACGGUCCAGACUACUACGGGAGGCAGCAGUAGGGAAUCUUCCGCAAUGGGCGAAAGCAUGACGGAGCAACGCCGCGUGAGUGAUGAAGGUCUUCGGAUCGUAAAACUCUGUUAUUAGGGAAGAACAAAUGUGUAAGUAACUAUGCACGUCUUGACGGUACCUAAUCAGAAAGCCACGGCUAACUACGUG
rnacentral:rRNA from 1 species